ACGGGGGAGGUUUUAAAACUGUGAAACAGCAAAGAGGGAUGUCUUCUAGACGACGGGGGAGGUUUUAAAACUGUGAAACAGCAAGAGGGAUGUCUUCUAGACGACGGGGGAGGUUUUAAAAACUGUCAUUUGUUUACCAAGGUAUGUAAUUGGUAGUUAGUUGCGAUCAAGUGUUGAGACACGAACGUUGCAUGUUGUAAAUGUCCAUAUCAGAUUAGGCACUUCCUGUGUCCCCCGGUGAUGACAUCACAACCCUUUCAGACGAGCACAGUUCUGAUGUGACAGGGAGAGAGAACCUCCCAGUCUAUAUGGGACCUCUGGACCGGUAAGGAAAUGGAAUAACCCGAAGAAGAAAUAAAUAUAUAUCAAAUCAACAAUAACAAAAUUCUCCUUCACUCUGGGACUCUCAGAAUUAUCAAGGUGCUUUAUUAUCGAGGUACAUUUAUCAAACAUUGUCGGUGCGGUAACUACCGAGUUAAGAGUCGGGGCUUCUGUACUGGCUUUCCGUCUGUCUCCGUCCGUCCGUCUCGUCUCACCUUCUCCCUUAGUUAGAGGAGCACCAAGUGUUUACAGAGGUGAAGGGUCACCUGACCUCAUAUUGACCUUAGGUUAUACAUUACAUGGGGGUUUAGACUUCCAAAAUUACCACGGGUUUUUUUUUUUUCUCCAGAAAUCCCGGGUGGAAGAUUUCCCGGGAAUCAGGAGGGAAUAAGAAGGAAAAUCCGUAAUCCUCCAAAAAAAACUGGAUUUCUGGGAAAGCUGUGACUUUUUUUGUGUAAAUGAUCAGAAACGUGCGUCACUAGUUACAUGACAGGGCUUCUAUUACCACUGUUCUCCAUCUGAUACACUGUAUAUAUAUAUAUAUUCCUGAUAACUGGAACAACUCUGCUUCUCCAUGUAUUACACACUCAUUCUGGAACAACUCUGCUUCUCCACACUCAUUCUGGAACAACUCUGCUUCUCCAUGUAUUACACACUCAUUCUGGAACAACUCUGUCCGUCCAUGUACUACACUCUCAUUCUGGAACAACUCUGUUCCUCCAUGUACUACACACUCAUUCUGGAACAACUCUGUUCCUCCAUGUACUACACACUCAUUCUGGAACAACUCUGCUUCUCCACACUCAUUCUGGAACAACUCUGUUCCUCCAUGUACUACACACUCAUUAUGGAACAACUCUGUUCUCCACACUCAUUCUGGAACAACUCUGUUCCUCCAUGUACUACACACUCAUUCUGGAACAACUCUGUUCCUCCAUGUACUACACACUCAUUAUGGAACAACUCUGUUCCUCCACAGUCAUUCUGGAACAACUCUGUUCCUCCGUGUACUACACACUC
rnacentral:lncRNA from 8 species